rnacentral:rRNA from 1 species
AGUGAACGCUGGCGGUAGGCCUAACACAUGCAAGUCGAACGGCAGCACAGUAAGAGCUUGCUCUUACGGGUGGCGAGUGGCGGACGUGAGAGGAAUACAUCGGAAUCUACUUUUUCGUGGGGGAUAACGUAGCGAAACUUACGCUAAUACCGCAUACGACCUGCGGGUGAAAGCAGUGGAUCUUCGGACCUUGCGCGAUUGAAUGAGCCGAUGUCGGAUUAGCUAGUUGGCGGGGUAAAGGCCCACCAAGGCGACGAUCCGUAGCUGGUCUGAGAGGAUGAUCAGCCACACUGGAACUGAGACACGGUCCAGACGCCUACGGGAGGCAGCAGUGGGGAAUAUUGGACAAUGGGCGCAAGCCUGAUCCAGCCAUACUGCGUGUGUGAAGAAGGCCUUCGGGUUGUAAAGCCCUUUUGUUGGGAAAGAAAAGCAUCAGGUUAAUACCCCGCUGGUCUGACGGUACCCAAAGAAUAAGCACCGGCUAACUACGUG